GGCUCAAUUGUCUAGUGGUAUGAUUCGCACUUCGGGUGGUCGACUCUUUCUUGUUUCCAAGAAUCCCCAUUGCCUGGGCAACGGGCAAACUGAUAUGAUAUGUGCGUGGUCUCGGGUUCGAAUCCCGAUUGGGCCC